AGAGAGAGAGAGUUAAUGUCUGCAUGCAGAGAGAGCCAACAAAUAGACUCCUCUCUCCUCAAUGAUGGGUGACUAGGCGAAGGAGGGUAGAAAGUAAAGACUGAGGGAGGUGCAACAUGAAGAAAGGAUGUGAGACCGAGACCUUGUGCAGUGGCCAAGGCAGAAGGAGCAACAUGCAGUGAGGCAAGACCAAGACUGCAACAAGUCACAGAUCUGGAGAGGCAAAUGAAGAGAAGGUGGUGAAGGAGGAGGAGGUGAAGAAGAACAGCAGAGCCAGAGAGAGGGGGAGGCAAGAUUAAGAGGAACUGAGAAAGGGAGGCGUUUGGGUCUGCCUACGUGAAAGGCAAAAUGAUGACAGCAUAGAAAUUCUUAUAUAUAGGGAUGCAAAACGACAAAGUACAUGCAUAAAACUUUGGUACGGUUUAGUUAGUUCAGUUUUUUUACUGAAAUAACCGAACCGAAAAACUGAAAAUUUUUUAAAAUGAUAACCAAAAUCGAACUGAAAUAUCGAAAAACCGAAUUAGAUCAGUUUGGUUCAGUUAUUUGGUUAAAACCAAAAUCUACUCUCCCCUAAUUGCAAGCACCAACAUAUCACAUAUCUUUACCAUUAUUUUAAAUACAUAUAGUGUGGCAGAUGAAAUCUCCAAUGCAAACAGAACUUUGUGAAGUUGAGGCUUCAACUAAAAAAUCAUUUUAUAUUUUCUCCCCAUAUCUCUCUUUACUUUCUUCAGUUUACUAAACCAUAAAAUGCAGUUCUUCUAUUUUUUUUUUUUUUGGGGU
rnacentral:misc_RNA from 1 species